UUGAGGCGCUCCUCCUGUCUCCUCCAGUCAUCCUCUCCUCCCUUCACUUCUGUGUGGCGUUUGAACACAGUCAGGCGCAGGGACGUGGAAGAAGCCGGCCCGAGGAAAAUAAAAAUAAAAAUGAAUUAACCAGAACCAGGAACAGCGAGGAAUGAUACAGAGAGAGAGCGGAACCGCCGACACCUGGACCCGCAGUCCUGACCUGGAGGUUUCUGGUACCGAACAUUUGGAAUUUUUUUGCUGAUUUCUGUCGCAGUCAGGGGCAGAAACCCCCUCACCUGGUGAAGACCUCGGCUAAAUGAAGGAAACCCAUGUCGUUCCAGUCCAGGACGAUGUGAUUCCAGCAGCAGCGGCGGGUCAUUGCGGGAACAGCCGCUGUUUUCCGUGGAUUCACCGUUUUUGACGCAUUUGCGCCAAAAAUGAGCCCAAACCAGCGUGGAUUCCAUUGUAUCAGCUUCACGAGUGGAGUCUAAACAAACACACACCCCUCACCGACUCUAUUUUAAUUCCCAUUUGCAAAUAACCGGCGUCAGUUACUGCUGUGGGCGAAGGAGGAGAAGAAGAAGAAGAAGAAACAAAAGAAGAAGAAGACGGAGAUAAAAAUGGAAAACGAGGUUUUUACGCCGUUGCUGGAGCAGUUCAUGCUGUCACCACUGGUCUGCUGGGUGAAGACAGCGGCCCAGUCCACGGUCACGGACGGCACCAAACUGUCGGAAUAUGUUGAACUAGUGGACGGGAUUUACCUGAACGAGAUCAUGCUGGAAAUAAAUCCGAAGGGUUCGGUUCAGAGAACCAACAAGAAAGUCAACAACGACCCCACGCUGCGCAUCCAGAACCUGUCCAUCCUAAUCCGGCAGAUUAAAUCCUAUUAUCAGGAAAGUCUCCAGCAGCUGGUUAUGAUGCCUUUACCAGAUGUUCUUGUGCUGGGCCGGAACCCUCUGUCUGAACAAGGUCUGGAGGAGAUGAAGAAGCUGCUGCUGCUCCUGCUGGGCUGUGCUGUUCAGUGUGAGAAGAAGGAAGAAUACAUCGAGCGAAUACAGACUCUGGACUUUCACAGCAAAGCUGCCAUCGCUUCUCACAUCCAGGAGGUGACCCAUAACCAGGAGAAUGUGGUGGACCUGCAGUGGUUUGAGAGUGGAGAGAUGCCGCCUGAAGAUUUGGACAGUCUGUCCAGAAACCUGGCGUUCCAUCUCAAACGCCUUGUGGAUGAAAGAGACACUCAUCUGGAGACCAUAGUGGAGCUGACGCAGGAGAGAGACUGUAUGACGUUGUCUCCUCUGGCUCCGUGUCCAACACACUCUCCCGGGGACUCCCCCAGCAUGAGGAGGACGGAAAGCCGACAGCAUCUGUCUGUGGAGCUGGCCGAUGCCAAGGCCAAAAUCAGACGCCUUCGCCAAGAACUGGAGGAGAAGAGCGAGCAGCUUCUGGACACCAGGCAGGAGCUGGAGAACUUAGCGGGGGAAUCAAAGAGGCUGCUGCAAGAGAGCUUCCAGCUGAUGUCAGACGCUCGCUCAGCUCGGGCCUAUCGUGACGAGCUGGACGCCCUCAGAGAGAAAGCGAUCCGUGUGGACAAACUGGAGAGCGAGCUGAGCAGAUACAAGGAGAGACUCCACGACAUCGAGUUCUACAAGGCCAGAGUAGAGGAACUGAAGGAGGACAACCAGAUUCUGCUGGAGACCAAGACCAUGCUGGAGGAGCAGCUCGAUGCCACCAGGACACGUUCUGACAAACUGCACCUCCUGGAGAAGGAGAACCUGCAGCUCAAAUCCAAACUCAAUGAUCUGGAGAUGGACCGAGACCUGGACCGUAAACGUAUGGAGGAGCUGCUGGAGGAGAACCUUGUUCUGGAGAUGGCUCAAAAACAGAGCAUGGAUGAAUCUCUACACCUGGGCUGGGAGCUGGAGCAGCUGGUCAAGACACCAGAGCUCACUGAAGCUCCUCAGAAGUCGCUGGGCGAGGAGGUGAAUGAGCUGACGUCCAGUCGUCUGUUGAAGCUGGAGAAAGACAAUCAAACGCUGCUGAAGACGGUGGAGGAGCUCAGAGGAGCAGCCAGUCAGGACACCCUGGCAAAACUGGCUAAAGUCAGCCAGGAAAACCAGAGACUGACCCAAACGCUGGAGCAGCUUCAGACUGAGCUGAGCACAGACAGGGAGUCUCUCCACGGCGCUGAAAACCUGAGCUCCGACCUGAUGAAAGAGAAGGCGUCACUGGAGAAGAUUCUGGAAUCACUGAGGGAGAACUCUGAGAGACAGCUCAAGGAUCUGGAGCAGGAGAACAAACAUCUGAGUCAGACGGUGUCGUCUCUGCGUCAGCGCUGCCAGGUCGGUGCCGAGGCCCGGGUCAAAGAUGUGGAGAAGGAGAACCGAGUUCUUCACGAGUCCAUCUGUGAGACUACGGCCAAACUGAACAAGAUGGAGUUUGAAAGGAAACAACUACGUAAGGAGCUGGAGGUGAUGAAGGAGAAAGGAGAGCGAGCAGAGGAGCUGGAGGUUCAGAUGCAGAAGCUGGAAAGAGAAAAUGAAAGUCUGCAGAAAAAAAUCACCAGCCUCGGAAUCACCUGUGAAAAGGUAUCGUCUUUGGAGAAGGAGAACAACGAGCUGGAGGCAGAGGGUCGUCGUCUAAAGAAGAAGCUGGAUGCUCUGAAGAACGUGACCUUCCAAAUGGAGGCCCUGGAGAAGGACAACGCUCAGCUGGAGCAGGAAAACCUGGAGCUACGACGUUCUGCCGAGAACAUGCGUUCUGCUGGGGCGAAGGCUGCUCAGCUGGAGGCUGAGAACAGAGAGCUGGAGAGUGAGAAGAGUCAGCUGAAACGGAGCCUGGAGCUGCUCAAAGCUUCUUCCAAGAAGACGGAGAGAUUAGAAGUGAGUUACCAGGGCCUAGAUACAGAGAACCAGCGGCUGCAGAAGGCUUUGGAGAACAGCAGCAGAAAGAUCCAGCAGCUGGAGGCUGAGCUGCAAGAGGUGGAGACUGAGAAUCAAACCCUUCAACGCAGCCUGGAGGAGCUGAAGAUCUCCAGUAAACGUCUGGAGCAGCUGGAGCAGGAGAAUAAGACUCUGGAGCAGGAAAGCUCUCAGCUGGAGAAGGACAAAAAGCUCCUGGAGAAAGAAAACAAGCGGCUGAGGCAACAGGCGGAGAUCCGUGACUCCAAGCUGGAAGACAACAACCAGAGGAUCUCCUGCUUGGAGAAAGAGAAUCGAACCAUGGGCAAGGAGAUGAUCUUCUUCAGAGACUCUUGCACCCGAGUCAAAGACCUAGAGAGGGAGAACAAAGAGCUGGUGAAACAGGUCACCAUCGAUAAGAAGACUCUGAUGACUCUCAGAGAGGAGCUCGUCAGUGAGAAGCUGCAAACCCAGCAGAUGAAUAACGAUCUGGACAAACUGACCCACGAGCUGGAGAAGAUUGGACUGAACAAGGAGAGGCUGCUGCAUGACGAAAACUCAGACGACAGGUUUGAACUCCUGCAAACCAAACUGGAGUCCACCUUGAAAUCAUCCCUGGAGAUUAAGGAGGAGAAGAUCGCUGCUCUGGAGGCUCGACUGCAGGAGUCCUCCAACCUCAACCAGCAGCUCCGCCAGGAACUCAAGACAGUGAAGAAAAACUAUGAAGCACUGCGUCAGAGGGAGGAGGAGGAAAGAAUGAUGCAGAGCUCGCCCUCUAGAGGAGGGGAGGACUCCCAGUCUGUCAGCAAAUGGGAGAAGGAGAGCCACGAAGCCACCAGAGAGCUGCUGAAAGUCAAAGACCGGCUCAUCGAGGUGGAGAGGAACAAUGCCACACUGCAGGCUGAGAAGGCUGCACUCAGGAGUCAGCUCAAACAACUGGAAACGCAGAGCUCCAACCUGCAGGCUCAGAUCGUGGCACUGCAGAGACAGACCGCGUCGUUACAGGAGAACAACACCACGCUGCAGACGCAGAACGCCAAGCUGCAGGUGGAGAACUCUACCCUGAGCUCUCAGAGCGCCGCAAUCAUGGCCCAGAAUGCCCAGCUGCAGAGUCAGCAGAGCAGCGUGGAGGGUGAGCGUGAGGGAGCGCUGAAGGAAAAGGAGGAGGUGAGGUCCACCUACGAGCAGCUCCUCCGCGACCACGAGAAGCUGGCAGCGCUUCACGAAAGGCAGGCGACGGAGUAUGAAGCCCUGAUCGGGAAACACGGAGGCCUGAAGAGUUCCCACAAGAGUUUGGAGCAGCAGCAUCGGGACCUGGAGGACAAGUAUAAACAGCUGGUACAGAGGAAAGGUGAUCUGGAGGAGCUGGAGAAAAACGUGAAGGAGCAGCAGGAAAAAAUAUCCCAGGAGAAGAAAACCCACCGAGACACGGCAGAUCGAUGCCGACUGCUGAAGGAGGAAAAUGACAGACUAAACUCCACAAAUCAGCAGCUUCUGAAGGACAACGAGAAUCUUCAGACAGACCACAAGAACCUGAAGACCCAGCUGAACAGCACCAAGCUGGAGCAGACCAGACUGGAGGCCGAGUUCUCCAAACUGAAGGAGCAGUACCAGCAGCUGGACAUCACCUCCACCAAGCUCACCAACAAGUGUGAGUUGUUGAGUCAGAUAAAAGGAAACCUGGAGGAAGAGAACCGACAUCUGCAGGACCAGAUCCAGACGCUGAUGCUGCAGAAUCGCACGCUGCUGGAGCAGACCAUGGAGAGCAAAGACCUUUUCCACGUGGAGCAGAGACAAUACAUAGACAAACUGAAUGAGCUGAGGAGGCAGAAGGAGAAGCUGGAGGAGAAGAUCAUGGACCAGUACAAGUUCUACGACCCCUCACCUCCACGCAGACGGGGCAACUGGAUCACUCUGAAGAUGAGGAAACUGAUCAAACCCAAAAGUCGGGAGAGGAUGCGUUCUCUCCCACUCACUCCGUCUCGUUCGGAGUCCGGAGACGGUUUCCUGAGUUUCCCCCCCGACAGUCAGGACAGCUCGUCCAUCGGCUCCGGUUCCAACUCUCUGGACGACACGCUCACACACAGGAGGAGCAACAGGAGGAGAGGGCAGCACGCUAAUGCCCAAGGGCAGGGAUCCACCAAUGCUUUAAAGAGGUUGCCUUUCAUGAGGAACAGGUCCAAGGACAAAGACAAGGACAAAGCCAUCUACCGGCGCUCCAUGUCCAUGAACGACCUGCUGCAGACCAUGUCAGUGGCUGCCAGUCCUGGGUCACAGUGGCCGGGCAGCACCGAGUAUCUGGACAGUGCCGAGGCUGGAGACGGCAGCAUGACGCCCGGGAGCGGACGCAGCGGUCGGCGCAUGAAGGAGUUGGCCUUUUCCACCAACGCCAUUGACUGCGCUGCUCUAACGCUGCCCUCUGCUGGACGCAGCAGGGCCAGGUUACGGAUAAAAAUCAAAGAUAACGUGUCCUGUGAGGAUGUGGCGGCCUCCCCUGAAGAGCCCAAUAUUCCAGGCCUGGUGUGCAGCAGUGCUGUGACUCUGUGUCCUUCCCCUUUUGAGCUGAACCUUAGCCGCAGAGUUCUCUGUGGCUUCUGUACUACCAGGCCCUCCAGUCUCCAUAGCAACAGGACCAGUAAUAAUAGUCACAAUAACUCGCACCUCACCUCUCCUCUGGAGGGAAAAGGCACACUGAACGGCAGCGUCAGCCGACCCCACAGCGAGAGCAGCGGAGAGUUCAGUCUGAGUUUGGACCAGGAGGUGUGGUCCAGCAGCGGCAGCAGUCCUGUCCAGCAGCCCACCUCCUCACGCUCCUCCCACCAGAGCCCCCUGCAGCUGCACCGCUCUCUGGACCCGUCCACUGGUUCUGGCAGCCCUGGCCAGAACCAGAUCAGGAAGACGGGGUCCCCGGGAAACGAGGUUCUUUCACUGCAACAGUUCCUGGACGAGGGCAUCGAUCCUGCGGAGUCUGGCAGUCUGGAGAACCUCACCGUAGACUCCCCUCGUCUCUCCACGUCCUCGGAGCCCAAAGAGAAAGAACGCGUCACCAAAGGCCGGGGUAUUUUGCGCUCCUCCAGCAGCAGAGCUGCACCUGCCAGCUCUGAGCGACCUCCCAGGUCUUCGGCGCAACCGGGACGUCCGACCCUGAGGAAGGCGGAGAGCACUCGUGUGAAAGGCUCCGUCCCGGUCCGCUCCAGCCUGUCCUCCCAGAACAAAGCCAUGUCUGUCUCUGACCGUCUGGACUCCGCAUCCUCCGCGUCCUCAACUCUACCCAGAGCCAGCAGCGUCAUCUCCACGGCUGAAGGCACCACACGGCGCACCAGCAUCCACGACCUGCUCUCCAAGGACAAUCGUCUGCCCGUGUCCGUGGACGCUUCGCCUCCCGUCACUUCCACCAAGCCUGGAGCUCGCCCUCAGCCUUCAUCCAAUGUGGAAGGCAGAAAGUCUAAAAGCAGGAGCGGGGGGGCCACGCAGCAAAGCUGCUAAACCCCGCCUCCGCCGCACACACACUCACACACACCCACCCUGGUCUGUGUGGUACCGUGCUGCGAGCGCGUGAGGGGGAGUUCAGCCUCGGAUCAGUGUGUCAGAAACCUAGUAGACUUUAAUCUGCUGUGACGGGCUGCAGUGAGAAACGAUUGUAUAUCUACGUGGUUGUUCUUUUUCUCCUUCCUAAAUCCAGGACACGUCCUCAUUAGAGAAAAGCUUCUUCUUGCUCUGUUUUUUUUUUUCUUCCUUGAAUCAAGGAAACCAAAAGACUUUUGACAAAUGUUGCAGUGACAGUUUUCUUUUUAUUAUUUCUAUAAAGACUGCCAUGUGUCCUUUAGUGUGUCGGACGAUUAAAGUGCCAAUGUUGCCCAGCAGCCAAAAUGACGAGUGGAAACGAAGACAAAAAAUCUUCCAUGUGAGACCGACCUUUUUCUUUUUUCUUUUUUUUUGGCCCCUCACCAUAUGAUCGAUAACGGGCAGCACAAGCAAAAAUGUUAUGUAUUCACACACACACACACACACACACAUGUUCAAAGCAUGACGCACAAACGUCUCUGACUAUCAGACUUUUAAAAGAUCACAAUCUGCACAGAGCAAUCACUCAGCCAAUCGCCUCGCUUCUUUUGUCCAAUCACAUCGGAGUAGUGUCCGCUCCGCCCGUUGUUUUUAUCCCCCAGGAUGACAAAAGAUAAACUCUUGAAAGAAAUAGAAACAGUGACUGUGCUGUGAUUGGUUUCUGGUGUCAGCCAGUCAUGCAUGACAGAUGUGUCGAUACUGUCAGUGUCAUUAAACCAAGACACACUGAACGUCAUCUUUCAUCGUAGCCUGAAAUAAAUGAUCAUCCAGAAAAAAGUUUCACGGUCAAACAUGUUCUUCCAUGUUCUUGCCAUGCUGUCUGGAGAAUCAAAGUCCAGUCUGGUCAUGAAUCUGAAUCUGAGCAGACUGCAGUGUACUGUAAGUGAUGCUGAUGAAACUCCCAGUUUGUUCUCCUUUUCCACUUUUACAUAAACCCAUUUGAUGUAAUUAAAAAGUAACUGAAAUUACAAA